rnacentral:rRNA from 1 species
UGGGCAACCUGCCCCUAGCUCUGGGAUAACUGCGGGAAACUGUAGCUAAUACCGGAUGUGACACGAGACUGCAUGGUCUUCGUGUGGAAAGAUUUAUCGGCUAGGGAUGGGCCCGCGGUCUAUCAGCUUGUUGGUGGGGUAAUGGCUCACCAAGGCGACGACGGAUAACCGGCCUGAGAGGGCGACCGGUCACACGUGGGACUGAGACACGGCCCAGACCUCCGUACGGGAG